rnacentral:ncRNA from 1 species
ACACAUGAUAUACAAAUACAACCCCCCACACACAUGGUAUACAACCCCCACACAACCCCCACACACAUGAUACACAACCCCCACACACAUGGCCCCGUUCGCGGGGCCGGGGAAGCCGUUCGAGCAGCGUCGUGUCGCGGUCCGGGACUGUCCUCAGUCCCGGGUCGUCUCGGCGCGGUUCCGAGCGGUCGCUCCCUCGCGAGGUGCCGCGGGUCAGCGGCUGACGCCAGCCACCUUCCCGACCCGUCUUGAAACACGGACCAAGGAGUCUAACAUGUGCGCGAGCCGCGGGGCAGUACGAAACCCGUAAGGCGAAAUGAAGGUGAACGCCGGCGCGGUCCGGCGGAGGUUGGAUCCCGUCCCGUCGGGGCGGGCGCACUACCGGCCGAUCUUCUCCGCCCUGUCGGCGAGGUCGAGCGAGAGCGUGCAAGUCGGGACCCGAAAGAUGGUGAACUAUGCCUGAGGAGGUUGAAGCCAGAGGAAACUCUGGUGGAGGACCGUAGCGAUUCUGACGUGCAAAUCGAUCGUCAAAUUUGGGUAUAGGGGCGAAAGACUAAUCGAACCGUCUAGUAGCUGGUUCCCUUCGAAGUUUCCCUCAGGAUAGCUGGCGCUCUGUCGCAGUUUUAUCUGGUAAAGCGAAUGAUU